UACCCGCGGUCCAAGUCGCAGCCAUUUUAUUGGGUCUAAAACAUCCGUAGCUUGCUUGGUAAGUUCCUUGUGAAAUCCGGCAUCUCAAGUGUCGGGCGCGCGGGGAGUACUGCCAGGCUAGAGACCGGAAGACGUGAGAAGUACGUUCUAAGUAGUGGUAAAAUACGUUAAUCUAGGACGGACUCACAAUAGCGAAGGCAUCUCACGAGGACGGUUCUGACAGUAAGGGAUGAAGGCUAGGGGCGCAAAA
rnacentral:rRNA from 1 species